rnacentral:lncRNA from 1 species
UUUGAGACAGGGUCUCACUAAGUAGUUAAGUGUUGAUCUUGAACUUGCAGUCCUCCUGCUUCUGCCUCCCAAGUCACGGGGAUUACAGGUGUGAACCACCAAUCCUGGCUUCUGCCACACCUUCUUUAUCCUCUGCAAUCAAGCCUGAAGUGCACCCAUUGCUCUUUGUAGCUUGCCUUGCCCCCAGACCCUUCUGCUGACCACAGCUUGUGGCAGGCAGGACGAGCCUCCUGAGGCACAGAUGCAAGGGUGGUGCUCUGCUGCCCGGGUGUGAGUUCUCCCGGCUUCCUGCCACAGCCCCACGUGGUGCACCACCUCCUCAGGCCUACACUCCAGCACUACCAGCCGCACUGUAGCCACAGCCUGGCAUCUCGUGUUGUCCUCCUGGGGCACAGCGUGCUCCAUUCCCCAUGCCAGCUAGCUCCCUCAUGCUCUUUUGUCUGUCUCAGACACCACUUCCUCCAGGAAGUCUUCUUGAACGUUUCAGUGCCUUACUUAUGUCUCCCACAGUAUUUAUCCAUGAUCACUAUGCCUUGACCACAGCAGGCACACAGUAACGGUUGACGGGAUGACACACCAGCAGCCCACUAGAUCAGACUCUUUGCCCCAGACUAUAAUAACUCCUUUUCCAAAGAAAAAGUCUACAGAGUCCUCACAUAAUAGCAAGUUAUACUUUUAAGGUCCAUUGAUUAAGAAAAUUCAUAGUGACUAAAAGUUAUAUUGCCUUCAGUAGAACAUUGAACUAUACUUCAUCAAACCCAACAAUAUCCACAUAUAUUCAAAGGCUUGGUGCAUGCAGGAUUUUCAGGACUUUGCAGCCCCUCCGAGGCACUUAUGUUAGCCUGCAGGCAAUGAGGUCCUUAAGAGAAUGGCGAAUCUUUAAAGGGUCCAGGCCUUGGGUUCUCCAAAUUCACAAUUUUGGCUAGAGAUAGAUCUGUCCAUGAGGUUUAAUGAAAACUAAGAAUCAUGCUGGAAAGGGGAGAUAGCAAUGGAACCAGUGUCUGGAAAGUGAAUCCAUUCCCUCAGAACACAAUAGUUUUAUUCUAGAGGCUGGUCAAUGAUAAAGACUAAUGCCAUGUAUGGGAUUAGUCAUCGUCUUUGUGUACCCCAAGUCCUGGAAGUGGAGGGAAGCCCAGGAACACAUGUGGCCUCUUGGAAGAAGUUUUCCUGACUCCACCACAAGGUCAGGCCCCCUCAUCGUCUCUGCCAUCACCCCAGUGGCCCACAGUGCAGCUCUCUGAGCUGUCCAGCUCCCUUCCUGGAUCAUGCCCUCCUGUUUGAGCCCUGGACUGCUGAGUGUCUCCACCUCCAAGUGAAGAUCAUACCUGUAGAUGCUUAAUAGCUUUACUGAGACCUCUGACAAGCCUGUGUGGAAGUGUUAGUCCUCUGAUGUCUCUCUGCACGGUGGCCCCCCAUUUUGGGAUGAGAGACAAAAUUUGCCCACAUCUGUUGCUAGGAUCCGAGGCUCUGGAGGUCUGCUUCUGAUCAUGCUCCCAAACACUUCAGAACAGCCAGGUAAAACCUCAAAUGCAAAAGCCUCCCAUCCUACCUCCAACCCUGGCCCCUACCCCAAAGAACUAUUACCAAUUAUGUUCUUUGUACUUUCAAGGGAAAAAAUAAAAAGUUUGCUCUUAUCACCAAAUAUACACAUAUGCAAACAUAUACAUGCAUGUAAAUAUGUACUAAUGUCCUUUUUAUUUAUACCAAGUGUUCUGAUAAAUAUUGAAGUUGGAAGGUACAGGAUUAAUAAUCAUUCUUGAGCAUGGGCCUGGGUUCAAUCCCCCAGCACUAAAAAAAAAAAAAAAAAAAUCAUCCUUAUCUCAGUUCCUGGUUGAUUUUAACUUUUUCUGCACAGUAUUAUAUUGUAUGUUAUUUACUUAACCAAUUUAACAUGCAGAUUAGUUUGUUUCAAUAUUUUGCUUUUACAAAUAAUGCUAUACUGAAUAUUCUUAUGCACCUGUCUUAGUAUACUUUUGCAACUAUAUCCAUAGAGUAAAUUCACAGUAAUAGAAUUUCCGGGUCAAAUCUUCCAAUUUUGAUAGAUAUUAUCAAACUGUCUUUUAAAAAAUAUUCCAUCACCACUCCUGGCAGUAUUUGAGAGUGGCAGGUUGCCCACAUAGUCAAUUCUGAAUACUGACCAGCUUUUAAAUUUUCACUUUUUGAGAAUUGAAAUCUCAUCAGCAUUUCUACGAUUCUGGGUGAAGUUAACCAUGUUUCUGUGUGUUUGCUUUUCUGUAAACUCCAUGUUCAUAUCCUUUCCUGAAUUUUAUCUUUAAUUAUUCAAUCUUGGUUUUUAUGAAUGUUCUGAAAACCAAGGAAAUGUGAUUGUGUUCUAUGCUGCUAAUGUUUUUCCAUUUGUAUGGGAUGAUUUUAUUUUCAUCAUCUAAUGAUUUGAAAUUCUUGAUUUUAGUCAUGUGCAUUGCUUAAGAAUACAUUUUUGUGCCCCUCAAUAUAUGUGUGUGCACACACAUACAUAUAUAGAUAUACACACACGUACUAAUGUUUUUAAGUGCAUUUUUAAAGGGCUAGACAAUUGUUACAGGCUCUUAAAGACUCAGUCUGGUGUCUAUCUAUAGUCCUUCAGCCUCCUUGAGAAAUCACAGUUUAACAAAAUGCCAGCAGUUGAUCUUCUUGACAGAUCUAACUGGGAUUUUUCCUCUUGUUUACAAAUUCAGUGAAUAAAACUAGUUUCCUUGAGGUUAAUUCAAUUGAUUUUUUUCCUGGUUCCAAAUUCUUGUCUGGGUUAGUUAGUGUCCUUUCCACACCCUGCAUUGAAGAAAACAUCCUAUAAAUUCCGACACCCAGGUCUAAUUAAAAUCUUGCUCUUAAAACAAGAAUGUCUUUGAAUGUCUUUCAAAUUUGGAGAAAAUUUACUUCCUUGAUGUCUUUAGCCUCUGGAGCAAAGCACCUUCAGCUGAGCCAUUCCAAAGAGUUGGGAUUUCUCUGAUGAUCUACGAAACAGCUUCCACCUGUGCGUUGGGCAGUGAAGAGGGAGCAGGUAAACCACAGAGGUGCCUGUGGAGGAGACAGCAGGGGUGUAAGGAUAGGGAAGUUCCAUGUUGAAAGCUCCAGCAUUAUGGUGCUUUUCCCCAUAUUUUUAAGAAAUAAUAUUGGGGGUUUUAACAACCAACAAUAAAAAUUAAAAAAACUGUUAAAAAAAUAAUAUUGGGGGUUUUGCAGUUUAUAAAAUCUUUCACAUAAAUCAACCUAAAGCAAAGCUGUGGGGAGUCAGAUGAUAUCAUUCCCAGUGUUUUAUGUAGAAAAAAUAGAGGUCAAGGGGAUAAAAGACUC